rnacentral:rRNA from 1 species
UCCUCCCUCUGUCGGCGUGCUUAACACAUGCAAGUCGAACGGAAAGGCCCUGCUUUUGUGGGGUGCUCGAGUGGCGAACGGGUGAGUAACACGUGAGUAACCUGCCCUUGACUUUGGGAUAACUUCAGGAAACUGGGGCUAAUACCGGAUAGGAGCUCCUGCUGCAUGGUGGGGGUUGGAAAGUUUCGGCGGUUGGGGAUGGACUCGCGGCUUAUCAGCUUGUUGGUGGGGUAGUGGCUUACCAAGGCUUUGACGGGUAGCCGGCCUGAGAGGGUGACCGGCCACAUUGGGACUGAGAUACGGCCCAGACUCCUACGGGAGGCAGCAGUGGGGAAUAUGGCACAAUGGGCGGAAGCCUGAUGCAGCAACGCCGCGUGCGGGAUGACGGCCUUCGGGUUGUAAACCGCUUUCGCCUGUGACGAAGCGUGAGGGACGGUAAUGGGUAAAGAAGCACCGGCUAACUAGGU